UACGUAGGGUGCAAGCGUUGUCCGGAAUUAUUGGGCGUAAAGAGCUCGUAGGCGGUCUGUCGCGUCGGCUGUGAAAUCCCGGAGCUCAACUCCGGGUCUGCAGUCGAUACGGGCAAACUGGAGUACUGCAGGGGAGACUGGAAUUCCUGGUGUAGCGGUGGAAUGCGCAGAUAUCAGGAGGAACACCGGUGGCGAAGGCGGGUCUCUGGGCCAUUACUGACGCUGAGGAGCGAAAGCGUGGGGAGCGAACAGG
rnacentral:rRNA from 1 species